UCUCCGUGGAUUACGGAUAAAAUAUCUUUGUGUGCUCGGAAAUAGCUACUCCAGCGGAUAAAGCCUGCAUCUUUGCUGUGCUGUUUUUGUGUAGAAAUAUCUUGAGCAUCUAGCUUUUCUUUGCGCUUUGAUGCUGCUACCAAUUUGCAUUACCAUUUGCAGCAGAAGUUUCUACAUACAGAGCUCCAUUUACAUGCUCUGAAACCUGCUUUUUCAUGUGCAUCAGUGCACGGAAGACGCACCCGAUCAGCGCAGGAUCUGUUGAUGUGGCACGGUGGCACCUGGCCGACUCGGUGAGACCUGAUGAGCACAUCUAUCUGUUCGACUCCAGCCCUGGUUUCAGAUAACCCUACUUGUUCAGAGCAAGACGACAUGCUGCCUUGCCUUUUUAAGCUGCUUUCAGGAUUGGGAACGGCCGUACCGUAGUAGGUUGACCGUACCAAGGCGUACGUACAUAACGAAUCUACCAAUAGUAUCCCAGCCAUGUACGGUGUUCAUGUAAGGGUUGUUUGGAUCUACGCACUAAUUUUUAGUAGGAUUGUUGGAUCUACGGACUAAUUUUUAGUAGGGUUAUUUGGAUCUAGUGAUUAAUUUUUAUUCCCGGAUCA